UGUGUUGGUGAACCCAGGUGUUGGUUACCUGUUGGUGACCAGGUGUGUUGGUGAACCCAGGUGUGUUGGUGAACCCAGGUGUUGGUGAACCCAGGUGUUGGUUACCUGUUGGUGACCAGGUGUGUUGGUGAACCCAGGUGUGUUGGUGAACCCAGGUGUUGGUGAACCCAGGUGUUGGUUACCUGUUGGUGACCAGGUGUGUUGGUGAACCCAGGUGUUGGUUACCUGUUGGUGACCAGGUGUGUUGGUGAACCCAGGUGUUGGUUACCUGUUGGUGACCAGGUGUGUUGGUGAACCCAGGUGUUGGUGAACCCAGGUGUGUUGGUGAACCCAGGUGUUGGUGAACCCAGGUGUUGGUUACCUGUUGGUGACCAGGUGUGUUGGUGAACCCAGGUGUUGGUGAACCCAGGUGUUGGUUACCUGUUGGUGACCAGGUGUGUUGGUGAACCCAGGUGUUGGUGAACCCAGGUGUGUUGGUGAACCCAGGUGUUGGUGAACC